GGCCAGUGAUGUAACAAAGAUAUUUGCUACUCUUGAUGGGAUUUUUCCAUUUGAUGAUUCUUAUCCACCAAGAUCGCUGAGGCC